AACCUAUCCUUAGAAGUCUAUGAGGAUCUCGUGGAUUCACAAGUUUGAGUGCAUGAUUGUUCCUACAGUUUGAUGAGUCCAAUAGCAUAGUGAAAGAAGUGGCCUUUAUAUUUUGAUUUGUAUUUUGCAGUCACUUAUGGCCUCAGUAUAUGUAUCUAUUGGAACUUAUAUGUAUUUGUAGGAAAUUUGUAAUAAUUUUGUUUCGCUGCAUAAAUUUUAUCAUGCACUCGUUACUUUGUAUUUGUAUCUGACACCCAUUUGUCUUAAAUAGCACUUGGGAUGUCACAGAAGGGUUUUAAAUAGCCAUGGAAAGAACAUACAUGCUUGCCACAUGGCGGUAUGCAUGGUUGACACGUGACAGCUAGUGGAGAGUUGCAGCUGGCAAUGGCGACUAAUGGAACAGCUGUAAGGGAC
rnacentral:lncRNA from 1 species